rnacentral:rRNA from 1 species
CACGUAGUUAGCCGUGGCUUUCUCGCAAGGUACCGUCAAGGUGCCGCCAUUGCCUGCGGCACUUGUUCUUCCCUUACAACAGAACUUUACGACCCGAAAGCCUUCAUCGUUCACGCGGCGUUGCUCCAUCAGACUUUCGUCCAUUGUGGAAGAUUCCCUACUGCUGCCUCCCGUAGGAGUCUGGGCCGUGUCUCAGUCCCAGUGUGGCCGAUCACCCUCUCAGGUCGGCUAUGCAUCGUCGCCUUGGUGGGCCGUUACCCCACCAACUAGCUAAUGCACCGCAAAGCCAUCCAUGGGCGACGCCGGAGCGCCUUUCAUCAGCGGACCAUGCGGUCCGAUGACACAUCCGGUAUUAGCCCCGAUUUCUCGUGGUUAUCCCAGACCUAUGGGCAGGUUCUUUACGUGUUACUCACCCGUCCGCCGCUCAUUCCACCGUCGCCCCCCGAAGGGUUCAGACGGCUUCCUGCGCUCGACUUGCAUGUAUUAGGCACGCCGCCAGCGUUCGUCC